rnacentral:rRNA from 1 species
UGGGGAAUUUUGGACAAUGGGGGAAACCCUGAUCCAGCCAUCCCGCGUGUGCGAUGAAGGCCUUCGGGUUGUAAAGCACUUUUGGCAGGAAAGAAACGUCAUGGGUUAAUACCCCGUGAAACUGACGGUACCUGCAGAAUAAGCACCGGCUAACUACGUGCCAGCAGCCGCGGUAAUACGUAGGGUGCAAGCGUUAAUCGGAAUUACUGGGCGUAAAGCGUGCGCAGGCGGUUCGGAAAGAAAGAUGUGAAAUCCCAGAGCUCAACUUUGGAACUGCAUUUUUAACUACCGGGCUAGAGUGUGUCAGAGGGAGGUGGAAUUCCGCGUGUAGCAGUGAAAUGCGCAGAUAUGCGGAGGAACACCGAUGGCGAAGGCAGCCUCCUGGGAUAACACUGACGCUCAUGCACGAAAGCGUGGGGAGCAAACAGG